rnacentral:lncRNA from 1 species
GCAGUUCUAUUGCAAGAUCUUCACUGCAAGAAAUAUGAAAAGGACACUUAAUAUUCUCAUCUAGGUACAUAACAUUUUUCACUUCCACAUGCAUAUAUACAAAAAAAAUCUAGAAAAGAUCAGAGGGCAAAAUUGCCGGAUGAACAGAAGGUUAGAGUCUUUCUCUUCCUCUCUCUCUUGUUAUUCCAUAUUUCUUCCUUGCAAACUCAAGCAAUUGCCACCACAGUGAAUUCCAGCUGCUGGCCAAGCUCCGCCGAUUGGUCCACUCUGAACUCCACCACAGAAAUCCCGGUUCCGCUCGUUUCGCG